rnacentral:rRNA from 1 species
ACAUACGACCAUACCUACCAGAAAAUACGGGAUCCCGUCCGCUCUCCCUUAGUCAAGCUGGUAAGGGCCAGAUUAGUAGUUGGGUCGGUGACGACCAGCGAAUCCCUGGUGUUGUAUGUU